UGGAAAAGGGAGUUUUUCUUUUAUUUGAGACUUUCCCUUACUUUUGUUUUCUUGGCCUGGUUCGUCUGCAUUUUUUAAGUGUGCGUCGUGCGAGGGCUACGGAGUAGUGUUGUUAUUUGUAUAUCUUUUAUUGGGACCCUCUGUUGGUUGAGAGUAAAUUUUUUCGGCUGCAUUCUUUGUGAGCACGCGUUUGGAGAACACUUGCUAAACAUCAGAAUAAAAAGGAGAGCAUAUGAGAUGCUGUCCCAUCAUCUGAAGCUGAAGAUUCGACAGACAUGAAGCCAGAUCUGUCUGAAUUGGCUGCUUUGGACAGGAGGAACAGUGGCCGAAGUCUCCUGCACCUUGCAACCUUUGAUGGUGAAACUAAUGCAUUGAUGCACCUUCUCCAGGAAGGAGCGGACCUCAACUUCUGCAAUUAAGCUGAGGUUAUUGCUUUUCUGCAUCGACAUGGUGCUAACUGCCAUGCCAAAGUUCUCCGUGAUAAAACGCCAUUGGACUUUGCAUGGAGUCCUGAUGCCGUCCAAGCGCUGAAUGCAGCCUUCAGAACCUGCACCUGUGCUGGAGAAGGCAGUGGCUGCGUGCAUUUGCAAGCAGGGUGCUUUUGACAGCAGGAAAGGAGGCACAGAAGUGGACUUCAAGCAAGAUCUGCCACAGAAAGGUCCCGUGGCAGGUGGCGACAACUACCAACAGUGUCCCCUGCCAUGAAAAACUGCCUGCAAAGAAGUCAAUUGCAGAAAGGUGGCCUCCCAUGUUUCACCAUUCGUUUUUGGCUGUGCCUUUUAUGCUUCUUCACCUACUGCUCUCGUGCACCUAUUAUGGUUGCUUUUCAAACUUUUCUUCCUCUUGCUAACUGAAUGCUGAGGUGAACUGUUACUGUGGUGCUGGCAAAAAUUUAUGGUGUGGCAUUCACUUUUAUAAAUUUUUUCAUGCUGUUGGCAUGUAAAAUAAUAGCACAUGUCCUAUCAUUUUGUGUUAUUGUCCUCGCAAUCUUUUUUUCCUCUUUGUCCUUCAGGAUCUAAAAAUUUUCCUUUGCUGUGUUUCAUGUGCAACUUUCUUGAGUUGAAAUUUGUGAACAUAAAGAUUUGUGUUUUGAAUGUAUAGGACAAAUAUAGUUGAUAUUGUGUGUGUGUGACACAGCUUCGUUUGUGCUCUCUAGAAACUGAAGCCUUCAACUUAUCGUUGUAAUUCAGGCAGAGAAGUUAAGGAGUAUGUUACUUUUAAAUGACUUUUAUUCAUUCAUUUCUAGCAAAUCAUAAUGCUUAGUCAGUUUACAUUUGUUAACUGAAAUUUAAAAUGUUGCCACAAGCUGUUAGUCAAUUAGUUUAGCAUGUCUUCUUAUUCACAGUGAUUAUAAGUUGGGAGGCGAUAUGGACAAGGAAUGACACUGCAAGCACUGAACUUGCAGCUUAUGAAAAUAUUAUGUAUGAUAAUCUGAGGUAUCUAGUAGGGAAUGGAAUAGCAAAUAAAAUGUCUAGUGGAGGCAAAAGGGAGGAAGACCUAUGCUGUUAUAGGUGUCGUUGAGUGGCCCCAAGGAAUAAAGCCUCUUAAUUUAAGGAACAAGUGUUAUGGUGCUGACACAUUUCCUGUCCCAGCCCCCCCCCCCCCCCCUUUUUUUUUCUUUUUUUGGAUGAAUAGCUAUGUGCCCUCUAAGCACAUAAUGAAACCUAAAGCCCCAGCAUGACAAAUAAUUAAUGGCCA